AGAUUUGUCUUCAAUUACCACUGCCUAUCGCCAUAAUUACCAUUUGGAACAUUCUGGCUUGCUGAAGGAGUUGCUAAGCUAAGGCGCAGCUCACAUGAAUUGAAAUAAAACCAAAGGAAUUGUUGUACAAAGUGUUGAAUGCUGCAAAUAUUACGAUCCUUCAGAAGGAACAAGAAAUAAAAUGUUGAAGGAGCUACCGCAGUGAGUAAUCUGAAGGCUUGAUUUCAACACCAGCUCGAUCACCAAUGGAGCGAAGAAUACUGCUGAUAUCAACAUAUUCAUAUCUGUAAAUUCUAUACUGUAUUGAAACCGAUUAUUAAAUGCGAAAAAAACA